UUUUUUUAUCAGACUUUCUAUAUUCUUCUAUGUCGUUCUCUCUAACCAAUUCCGGUCUCACUUUGUAGUUUUGGGUUCCAUAAUUCCAUUUAAGUCUUUUUCGGUGGUUUUUCUCUACAGUGAGGGUGACUAAAAUGGUGAAGGAUGUCAUACUAGAGGCUGAUGGGUGAUGGUGAUGCUAGGUGUCUUCCAGAAAUGAACUCAGAUUAGAAUCCCAAAAUGCUGCCACAUUUGAGAUGACGCUAUGACCGUAUACAUGGAGAUUAAAAGUUCGAAAAUAGAUAUAGCCUUUCAAAAGGCAAAAAAAGUUCUUAGUGUAAUUCCUCUUAUCCCUUGAAGCUCCAUGUCCAUAGUAAUCAAUUGCUUAUCUUUUAAGUAAUGUAAGACAUCUGGGUCACUGGCUG